rnacentral:rRNA from 1 species
UGGCCUAAGGCGAGGACGAGAGUCGUAGCCGAUGGACAACAGGUGGAGAUUCCUGUACUGCGGUAUGACAGAACUGUGGGGACACGUAAGGAAAGCGGAAGCCGGGAAUGGAAAGCCCGGUGCAAGCGGGGUACCAGUCACUUUGGCAAAUCCGGGUGGCAAUGGGAAGCCGUGAUGCGGAGCGAAAUAAAGUAGCGAAGUCCGUGAGCCAUGCGUCAAGAAAAGCCGCUAUUGUUUAUACCGUACCCGUACCGUAAACCGACACAGGUGGAUGAGGAGAGAAUCCUAAGGCCGGCGGAAGAAGCAUUGCCAAGGAACUCGGCAAAAUGGCCCCGUAACUUAGGGAUAAGGGGUGCCUGGGAAACCAGGCCGCAGAGAAUAGGCUCAAGCAACUGUUUAGCAAAAACACAGGUCUAUGCGAAACCGAAAGGUGAGGUAUAUGGGCUGACGCCGCCCGAUGCUGGAAGGUUAAGAGGAGAGGUUAGCGGUAACGCGAAGCUUUGAAUUUAAGCCCCAGUAAACGGCGGCCGUAACUAUAACGGUCCUAAGGUAGCGAAAUUCCUUGUCGGGUAAGUUCCGACCCGCACGAAAGGCGUAAUGAUUUGAGCGCUGUCUCGACAAUGCAUCCGGUGAAAUUGAAGUACCAGUGAAGAUGCUGGUUACCUGCGCCAGGACGGAAAGACCCCAUGGAGCUUUACUCCAGUCUGGUACUGGGACUCGGUAUUGCAUGUACAGGAUAGGUGGGAGGCUAGGAGAUGGUAACGCCAGUUGCCAUGGAGCCGCUGUUGGGAUACCACCCUUGCAGUAUUGGGUUUCUAACCAGCCGCCGUGACCCGGCGGUGGGACAAUGCCAGACGGGGAGUUUGACUGGGGCGGUCGCCUCCGAAAGGGUAUCGGAGGCGCCCAAAGGUUCCCUCAGAAUGGACGAAAACCAUUCGAAGAGUGCAAAGGCAGAAGGGAGCUUGACUGCGACACCGACGGGUGGAGCAGGUACGAAAGUAGGGCUUAGUGAUCCGGUGGUAUUAAGUGGGAAUGCCAUCGCUCAACGGAUAAAAGCUACCCUGGGAUAACAGGCUUAUCACUCCCAAGAGUUCACAUCGACGGAGUGGUUUGGCACCUCGAUGUCGGCUCAUCGCAUCCUGGGGCUGUAGUAGGUCCCAAGGGUUGGGCUGUUCGCCCAUUAAAGCGGUACGCGAGCUGGGUUCAGAACGUCGUGGGACAGUUCGGUCCCUAUCCGGCGUGGGCGUAGGAUAUCUGAGAGGAGCUGUCCUUAGUACGAGAGGACCGGGAUGGACGGGCCGCUGGUGCAUCGGUUAGACUGCCAAGUCUACGGCCGAGUAGCCAAGCCCGGAAGGGAUAAACGCUGAAGGCAUCUAAGCGUGAAGCCCCCCUUAAGAUGAGAUAUCCCAUUCGAAAGAAGUAAACCCCCUUGAAGACGACGAAGUAGAUAGGGCAGAGGUGGAAGUGCAGCAAUGCAUGGAGCUGACUGUUACUAAUCGGGUGAGGGCUUGACC